GAACGCGCUCCAUUCGGUAACAUACUGAUGAAGAGCGAGUGGCGAACGGGUGAGUAGCACGUGAGCAACCUGCCCCGAAGACUGGGACAACACCGGGAAACCGGUGCUAAUACCGGAUAUCCCUAUCGGACCGCAUGAUUCGAUAAGGAAAUGGGUUCCGCUUUGGGAGGGGCUCGCGGCCUAUCAGCUUGUUGGUGGGGUAAUGGCCUACCAAGGCAUCGACGGGUAGCUGGUCUGAGAGGACGAUCAGCCACACUGGGACUGAGACACGGCCCAGACUCCUACGGGAGGCAGCAGUGGGGAAUCUUGCGCAAUGGGCGAAAGCCUGACGCAGCAACGCCGCGUGGAGGACGAAGGCUUUCUGAGUUGUAAACUCCUUUCAGCAGGGACGAUAGUGACGGUACCUGCAGAAGAAGCACCGGCCAACUACGUGCCAGCAGCCGCGGUAAU
rnacentral:rRNA from 1 species